rnacentral:rRNA from 1 species
CGGGGUUCUUUAGGAUCUCGUAAUUGGAAUGAGUACAAUUUAAAUCUCUUAACGAGGAACAAUUGGAGGGCAAGUCUGGUGCCAGCAGCCGCGGUAAUUCCAGCUCCAAUAGCGUAUAUUAAAGUUGUUGCAGUUAAAAAGCUCGUAGUUGAAUUUCGGGGUCAGUAGGUCGGUCGUGCCACUGGUAUGAACUGGUUUUACUGAUUCCUCCCUCUUGAAGAACUGUAAUGCCAUUAAUUUGGUGUUGCAGGGAAUCAGGACUGUUACUUUGAAAAAAUUAGAGUGUUUAAAGCAGGCUUUAGCUUGAAUACAUUAGCAUGGAAUAAUGAAAUAGGACGUUUGAUCCUAUUUUGUUGGUUUCUAGGAUUGACGUAAUGAUUAAUAGGGAUAGUUGGGGGCAUUAGUAUUCAAUUGUCAGAGGUGAAAUUCUUGGAUUUAUUGAAGACUAACUACUGCGAAAGCAUUUGCCAAGGAUGUUUUCAUUAAUCAAGAACGAAAGUUAGGGGAUCGAAGACGAUCAGAUACCGUCGUAGUCUUAACCAUAAACUAUGCCGACUAGGGAUCGGAUGAUGUUAAUUUUUUAAUGACUCAUUCGGCGCCUUACGGGAAACCAAAGUGUUUGGGUU